rnacentral:rRNA from 1 species
GACGAACGCUGGCGGCGCGCUUAACACAUGCAAGUCGAACGGAAAGGCCUGCUUUCCCUUGUGGAUUGCGGGUACUCGAGUGGCGAACGGGUGAGUAACACGUGAGUGAUCUGCCCCCAACUUGGGUAUAAGCCUGGGAAACUGGGUCUAAUUCCCGAUAGGACUGCAGGGUGGUGCCUGUGGUGGAGAACGAUUUUCUAGUGGUUGGGGAUGAGCUCGCGGCCUAUCAGCUUGUUGGUGGGGUAAUGGCCUACCAAGGCGGCGACGGGUAGCCGGCCUGGGAGGGUGGACGGCCACAUUGGGACUGAGAUACGGCCCAGACUCCUACGGGAGGCAGCAGUGGGGAAUAUUGCACAAUGGGCGGAAGCCUGAUGCAGCGACGCCGCGUGGGGGAUGACGGCCUUCGGGUUGUAAACUCCUUUCGACCGCGAGGAAGCCACCUGGUUGGAAGGGUGGUGACGGUAGUGGUAGAAGAAGCACCGGCUAACUACGUG